rnacentral:rRNA from 1 species
AGGACGAACGCUGGCGGCGUGCCUAACACAUGCAAGUCGAACGCGCUCCAUUCGGUAGCAAUACUGAUGAAGAGUGAGUGGCGAACGGGUGAGUAACACAUGAGCAACCUGCCCCGAAGACUGGGACAACACCGGGAAACCGGUGCUAAUACCGGAUAUCCCUAUCGGACCGCAUGAUCUGAUAAGGAAAUGGAUUCCGCUUCGGGAGGGGCUCGUGGCCUAUCAGCUAGUUGGUGAGGUAACGGCUCACCAAGGCAUCGACGGGUAGCUGGUCUGAGAGGACGAUCAGCCACACUGGGACUGAGACACGGCCCAGACUCCUACGGGAGGCAGCAGUGGGGAAUCUUGCGCAAUGGGCGAAAGCCUGACGCAGCAACGCCGCGUGGAGGACGAAGGCUUUCUGAGUUGUAAACUCCUUUCAGCAGGGACGAUAGUGACGGUACCUGCAGAAGAAGCACCGGCAACUACGCGCCAGCAGCCGG